rnacentral:rRNA from 1 species
AAUCAACGCUGGCGGCGUGCCUAAUACAUGCAAGUCGAACGCGAAAGUCCCGCAAGGAGUGAGUAGAGUGGCGAAACGGUAGGAGUAACGACGUGGGUGGACCUCGCCUUCCGUAGGUGGGGGAGGGUAACGUACCGUUCCGUAAACGGGAAACGGGACCGUAACUUAACCGUACCCGACUAGUAGUAAUUACCUUCCGUCC